CCUACGGGAGGCAGCAGUGGGGAAUAUUGCGCAAUGGGCGAAAGCCUGACGCAGCGACGCCGCGUGAGGGAUGAAGGUCUUCGGAUCGUAAACCUCUGUUAGCAGGGAAGAACGGUCACUGUGCUAAUCAGCAGUGAAUUGACGGUACCUGCAAAGGAAGCACCGGCUAACUCCGUGCCAGCAGCCGGGGUAAUACGGAGGGUGCGAGCGUUAAUCGGAAUUAUUGGGCGUAAAGCGCUCGUAGGCGGUAUGUCAAGUCAAGGGUGAAAUCCCCGCGCGUAACGUGGGAACUGCCUUUGAAACUGGCAAACUGGAGUGUGUGAGAGGUUAGUGGAAUUCCAGGUGUAGGGGUGAAAUCCGUAGAUAUCUGGAGGAACAUCAGUGGCGAAGGCGACUAUCUGGCACAUAACUGACGCUGAGGAGCGAAAGCGUGGGUAGCAAACAGGAUUAGAUACCCGGGUAGUC
rnacentral:rRNA from 1 species